AAAAAGGAUCCACGUUAAUAAAAUAUUCAAGUAUACCCCACCAUGUAAAAGGUGUACACCCUUCGGUACACCAAAUUAUGUAGCCUAAGAAAACUCCUUAAAAUUAUAUCAAAUCAGACAGCGUCUGUUCACCUAAUAUUCUCAACCAAACUUGCAAAUACUCAUAGUAUCUAAACUGCUGCUGCACACGCUUCCUAAAAUUCUAUACCAAGUCAAUGGUGCUACCAGUCCUACCUGCUCGUAUCGAAUAGAGUUGAACAAAUAUUAAAAAAUAAAAAGACAAUAAAAUCUUAUUUAUUGUACCGUAUUAAAACAUGCUAUUUCAGGACUUCCUGAUUCAAAAACUAACAGUUGAAUAUUUUCUAGACACACAUACUGAUCUCAUUCUAUUAAUUCUAAACUUCAUAGUCACAAGAGAAGCAGUUUAGGAUUCAAAAAUCGACCGAAAGAGAAGGAAAACAGGGUCUCGAAUCCUAUCUCCACCUUAGUAUACAGAAAACAAGACGCUGGUAAUGAAGUCAUAAUGCUUUAGGAAAAAUAGCAUACGUCUACAAGAAGAAAGAUAUAAUGUAGCAACCAACAAACACGGCAUAACAGAAACAUCAGUUUACGUGUCUUUUAACAUCCACACAGACAAAUUUAAAAUCAUCCCAAAUUAAAAGUCUCAAAAGAUAGUUCGAUCCCUAUUGCCUAUGUAAUGCUUAUUUAGCCAGUCUUCUACAGCACCAAAGCAUGCUUGAAUUUCCAUCCACGACGACCAUCAACAACGCACCUAAGAAGACAAAAAGGGAGAAAACCAGCAAGCGGUUAUGCUUUAUCAAGUGCAGAUUGGAUUUAAAUAAAGAUAUUAAGAGCUGAAAAAGAGACAAAAUUCACUAACAUGAAGAUUUAUGUACAGAUAGCCAGAAAUGGUGCUCAGUAAACUCCACCCAGCAUGGCUGGAACAUCAUCAAAUGACCAAAGAUCCAUUUCGUUCCCACCAUCUUGAAUUGCAUCUCCAUUGAGGAAUGCAUCGAGUGAAGCUUCCCAAUUUCCAUCCAGAUAUGGCAUCUGAAAGGGCUUCAUCUGGGACUCAAACGAUGGAUCUUCGGUGUUUUCAGCAGCAGGCACCAGAUCUCCAGAAUCUGACUUGAGUUUCUUUGCUGGGCUAGCAUCCUCCACAAAUUGAGUUUGAUUGUCUUCAACAACAGCCGAGAGGACGGAUGAAAUUUCUGGAGUUUUAGCACAAUUUUCUCCCCACCCGAAG
rnacentral:lncRNA from 1 species